rnacentral:rRNA from 1 species
GAAGCCCCAGUAAACGGCGGCCGUAACUAUAACGGUCCUAAGGUAGCGAAAUUCCUUGUCGGGUAAGUUCCGACCUGCACGAAUGGCGUAAUGAUGGCCAGGCUGUCUCCACCCGAGACUCAGUGAAAUUGAACUCGCUGUGAAGAUGCAGUGUACCCGCGGCAAGACGGAAAGACCCCGUGAACCUUUACUAUAGCUUGACACUGAACACUGGUCCUUGAUGUGUAGGAUAGGUGGGAGGCUUUGAAGCGUGGACGCCAGUCUGCGUGGAGCCAACCUUGAAAUACCACCCUUUAAUGGCUGGUGUUCUAACGUAGACCCGUAAUCCGGGUUGCGGACAGUGUCUGGUGGGUAGUUUGACUGGGGCGGUCUCCUCCCAAAGAGUAACGGAGGAGCACGAAGGUUAGCUAAUCCUGGUCGGACAUCAGGAGGUUAGUGCAAUGGCAUAAGCUAGCUUGACUGCGAGAGUGACGGCUCGAGCAGGUGCGAAAGCAGGUCAUAGUGAUCCGGUGGUUCUGAAUGGAAGGGCCAUCGCUCAACGGAUAAAAGGUACUCCGGGGAUAACAGGCUGAUACCGCCCAAGAGUUCAUAUCGACGGCGGUGUUUGGCACCUCGAUGUCGGCUCAUCACAUCCUGGGGCUGAAGUAGGUCCCAAGGGUAUGGCUGUUCGCCAUUUAA